UCCAGUUUGCAUAGCCUUCCCACCUGUUUGAUCCAUUCUCCUUAUCCUACAGCAGGGUAAUUGAAAAUUACUCAGUAACGAUAAGGAUAAUGAAAGGAAAAUGUUGAAACGAUGAAACGAAAUUCAUUAAUAUUCUAAGCAUGUAAGCAGGAGUGGCCUUUAAAUACUGGAGUUUCCGGCUUGUGCAAUCUGAUUACUUAGUUUGAAAGAUUUUGGGAUCACAUCCUGUUUUCAGAACAGCUAUUGGACUAACCUCAGAAAAACAUCUGGUGAUUCUAUGUAGAUGAAGACGAUACGCCUCUUCUGUAAUGACUGAGGACGAGAUUCUAGAAACUAUGGGGAUGAGGUUUCGUGUCAAAUUCUGUGCGUUCAAAAAUGGUGCCCCCACACUUGAGAUCUCCAAUCCCUGUUCGCCUGAGUGCUUGACUGUGAGAACCGGCCACAGGGCAUUGUUCGUGCUGGUCCAGGGGCAGGACGUGCCACCCCCACUAAGGCUUGCUAGUCUCAAAGUGGAGUGGAGGACCCAGCCAUCAAUACAUGGCAAGUCGGUUGGGUUAAUUAUCAGUCUACUAUAUAAACAAUGUUCGAUAAAAUAAUUUGUCCAAGACAAGGGCAUCUUCAACACUUAAAAGAGGAGAAGGGGUGCCCUGUGCAGCCCGGCACCGGCAAGGUAUGGGCCGCUAGAGGGGUGGGAGACUCGCCCUGCAAUUGGAUUGCAGUGUAAUACUAGGUGUGAUCCGUGUUGUCUGACUGCAAGGUAUUUUUAUUUUUUUAAUUUGAAAAUUAUAUUUUAAAUUAUUUAUUUUUAUAACUUUGAUGUUGAAAAUUAAUUGAUUUUAAUUAAGAAA